AGAUCUCGUUGCGACGAGAGUAAAGCUGCAGCGCGAGAACUGAGAGGGAAUGUUCUCGCGAGACCCCGUCUCAGCUGCCUUUCUUCCUGAGGCUCCGCCCCCCAGUUACGUACAAGAGUGCGUCAAGCCCAGGCCCAAGAUACAGAGGAGCGACAGAGAAGCCGAAAGAUAGUUGGGAGGCGGAGCUGGUCACUGAGCCUGCGCACAGAACGCUCCGCAACACUCCCUGCAGCGGUGUCCAGUGGAGUCCUGUCCUACAUUCUGCAGUGGCUUCUGGAAUUAUCUGUUUCACAAACCCAAUUUCUCUCUCUUUAUGAAGUGGCUGCUCAGAGUUCUGAAUGCACAUGUUUCAAGCCCAGCCCUAUGCAGAGAUGAAAACUGAAGACCUUCAGUUCUACUAUAAAAUUGCCAGUUCUAAAGCAUUAAGAUUGGAAACAGCGAGGGGCAGUUUUUCUGAGGAUGGAAAUGCAGG
ensembl:lncRNA